CAGCAGCCCGGUAAUACGUAGGUGGCAAGCGUUGUCCGGAAUUAUUGGGCGUAAAGGGCUCGCAGGCGGUUUCUUAAGUCUGAUGUGAAAGCCCCCGGCUCAACCGGGGAGGGUCAUUGGAAACUGGGAAACUUGAGUGCAGAAGAGGAGAGUGGAAUUCCACGUGUAGCGGUGAAAUGCGUAGAGAUGUGGAGGAACACCAGUGGCGAAGGCGACUCCCUGGUCUGUAACUGACGCUGAGGAGCGAAAGCGUGGGGAGCGAACAGGAUUAGAUACCCCGGUAGUCCCUGUCUCUUAUACA
rnacentral:rRNA from 1 species